UACGUAGGGACCAAGCGUUGUUCGGAUUUACUGGGCGUAAAGGGCGCGUAGGCGGUCAGCACAAGUCAGUUGUGAAAUCUCCGGGCUUAACUCGGAAAGGUCAACUGAUACUGUGCGACUAGAGUGCGGAAGGGGCAACUGGAAUUCUCGGUGUAGCGGUGAAAUGCGUAGAUAUCGAGAGGAACACCUGCGGCGAAGGCGGGUUGCUGGGCCGACACUGACGCUGAUGCGCGAAAGCUAGGGGAGCGAACGGG
rnacentral:rRNA from 1 species